rnacentral:piRNA from 1 species
UGAGGAUGCACAGACUGGCUCUGUGGCUGC